rnacentral:rRNA from 1 species
AGAGUUUGAUCAUGGCUCAGGAUGAACGCUGGCGGCGUGCCUAACACAUGCAAGUCGAGCGAUCUUCUUCGGAAGAGAGCGGCGGACGGGUGAGUAACGCGUGGGUAACCUGCCCCAUACACAUGGAUAACAUACCGAAAGGUAUGCUAAUACAAGAUGAUAUAAGAGAUUCGCAUGGAUUUCUUAUCAAAGCUCCGGCGGUAUGAGAUGGACCCGCGUCUGAUUAGCUAGUUGGUAAGGUAAUGGCUUACCAAGGCGACGAUCAGUAGCCGACCUGAGAGGGUGAUCGGCCACAUUGGAACUGAGACACGGUCCAAACUCCUACGGGAGGCAGCAGUGGGGAAUAUUGCACAAUGGGCGAAAGCCUGAUGCAGCAACGCCGCGUGAGCGAUGAAGGCCUUCGGGUCGUAAAGCUCUGUCCUCAAGGAAGGUAAUGACGGUACUUGAGGAGGAAGCCCCGGCUAACUACGUG